rnacentral:misc_RNA from 1 species
AAGUCGUAACAAGGUUUCCGUAGGUGAACCUGCGGAAGGAUCAUUACCGAAGUCAAGGCCCCUUCGGGGGCUAAACUUCCACCCUUUGUUUACCUUACCAUUGUUGCUUUGGCGGGCCGCCUCAGGCCACCGGCUCUCGAGCUGGUGCGUGCCCGCCAGAGACCCCCAAACCCAAACCAUAUUUAGUGUCGUCUGAAAACAAGUUUAAAUUAUUAAAACUUUCAACAACGGAUCUCUUGGCUCUG